CCUCUUAGAAGAAGAAGAAAAGAAAGAAAAAGAAAGAAUGCAGAUUUGCUAGCAUACAUGUUUGUUGUGUAUCUUGUCUA
rnacentral:ribozyme from 1 species